rnacentral:tRNA from 1 species
UGGGGCGUCGCCAAGNGGUAAGGCAACGGCUUUUGAUGCCGUCAUUCGCAGGUUCGAUCCCUGCCGCCCCAGCCA